rnacentral:rRNA from 1 species
AAGCCAUGCAUGUCUCAGUGCAAGCCGUCUAGUACGGUGAAACCGCGAAAGGCUCAUUAAAUCAGUUAUGGUUCCUUAGAUCGUACCCGCGUUACUUGGAUAACUGUGGUAAUUCUAGAGCUAAUACAUGCCGACAGAGUUCCGACCAGUCGCGCAGUUUGACGGCGGCCUCCGUCCCGGUCGCUGCGCGAUUCGGAAGGAACGCUUUUAUUAGAUCAAAACCGGCCAAACGGUCGCGCGUUUCAACACCGUCUCCGUAUCGUUUCGGCGUGCGCGAGCGUGUGCGCGCGAUCGUAAGCGGCCCGCGCAAAGAUUUGGUGACUCUGAAUAACUUCGAGCUGAUCGCACGGUCGACGUACCGGCGACGUAUCUUUCAAAUGUCUGCCUUAUCAACUGUCGACGGUAGGUUCGACGCCUACCGUGGUGGUAACGGGUAACGGGGAAUCAGGGUUCGAUUCCGGAGAGGGAGCCUGAGAAACGGCUACCACAUCCAAGGAAGGCAGCAGGCGCGCAAAUUACCCACUCCCAGCUCGGGGAGGUAGUGACGAAAAAUACCGAUACGGGACUCUUUCGAGGCCCCGUAAUCGGAAUGAGUACACUUUAAAACCUUGGUCGC